GAAUCGCUAGUAAUCGUGGAUCAGAAUGGCACGGUGAAUACGUUCCCGGUGCCUUGUACACACCGCCCGUCACACCAUGGGAGUGGACUGCACCAGAAGUGGUUAGCCUAACUUCGGAGGGCGAUCACCACGGUGUGGUUCAUGACUGGGGUGAAGUCGUAACAAGGUAGCCGUAGGGGAACCUGCGGCUGGAUCACCUCCU
rnacentral:rRNA from 1 species